rnacentral:rRNA from 1 species
UGCNAGUCGAACGGUAGCGGGAAGGAGCUUGCUUCUUUUCGUGAGAGUGGCGGACGGGUGAGUAAUGCUUGGGAAUCUGGCUUAUGGAGGGGGAUAACUACUGGAAACGGUAGCUAAUACCGCGUAAUGUCUAUGGACUAAAGGGGGCGUUUGCUCUUGCCAUAAGAUGAGCCCAAGUGGGAUUAGGUAGUUGGUGGGGUAAUGGCCUACCAAGCCUGCGAUCUCUAGCUGGUCUGAGAGGAUGGCCAGCCACACCGGGACUGAGACACGGCCCGGACUCCUACGGGAGGCAGCAGUGGGGAAUAUUGCGCAAUGGGGGGAACCCUGACGCAGCCAUGCCGCGUGAAUGAAGAAGGCCUUCGGGUUGUAAAGUUCUUUCGGUGAUGAGGAAGGGAUUGUGGUUAAUACCCACAGUCAUUGACGUUAAUUACAGAAGAAGCACCGGCUAACUCCGUGCCAGCAGCCGCGGUAAUACGGAGGGUGCGAGCGUUAAUCGGAAUAACUGGGCGUAAAGGGCACGCAGGCGGCUAUUUAAGUGAGGUGUGAAAUCCCCGGGCUUAACCUGGGAAUUGCAUUUCAUACUGGGUAGCUAGAGUACUUUAGGGAGGGGUAGAAUUCCACGUGUAGCGGUGAAAUGCGUAGAGAUGUGGAGGAAUACCGAAGGCGAAGGCAGCCCCUUGGGAAUGUACUGACGCUCAUGUGCGAAAGCGUGGGGAGCAAACAGGAUUAGAUACCCUGGUAGUCCACGCUGUAAACGCUGUCGAUUUGGGGAUUGGGCUUUAAGCUUGGUGCCCGUAGCUAACGUGAUAAAUCGACCGCCUGGGGAGUACGGCCGCAAGGUUAAAACUCAAAUGAAUUGACGGGGGCCCGCACAAG